UACUUUAUGACAACCUGACACACUAAGAAAGGUCCUAAACCGAAAUAGUAACCACUUACACAGCUUGGUAAGAGUCACAGCUGAGGUUCUUGGUGCUGAGGCAGUGCAGAAACACUCCUGAUGCAGACGGCAGGAACACUCUCAGACGGCCAGAGAACCACUUCCUGAUGACAUCACUGUCUCUCAGCUGAUCCUCAGUCAGCCUGUUGACCCGGAUCUCUCCAAUCACAUCCAGCGCCUGCGAUACUGCUGGACCAAUCACAGGCUCAGACUGGGGAGGAAGAGAUGUGGUUGGUUACUUCAAGGUUUGGCAAACCCUGACCCGAUACACCACAUACUUACUUGAACUUUAACCUCAAACUAGGCCAAUCC
ensembl:lncRNA